CCUACGGUGCGCAGCAGUGGGGAAUAUUGGACAAUGGGCGAAAGCCUGAUCCAGCCAUGCCGCGUGUGUGAAGAAUGCCUUCGGGUUGUAAAGCACUUUCAGUGGGGAAGAAAGCCUUGGGGCUAAUACCCUCGAGGAAGGACAUCACCCACAGAAGAAGCACCGUCUAACUCCGUGCCAGCAGCCGCGGUAAUACGGAGGGUGCGAGCGUUAAUCGGAAUUACUGGGCGUAAAGCGCGCGUAGGCGGUCUGAUAAGCCGGUUGUGAAAGCCCCGGGCUCAACCUGGGAACGGCAUCCGGAACUGUCAGGCUAGAGUGCAGGAGAGGAAGGUAGAAUUCCCGGUGUAGCGGUGAAAUGCGUAGAGAUCGGGAGGAAUACCAGUGGCGAAGGCGGCCUGCUGGACUGACACUGACGCUGAGGUGCGAAAGCGUGGGUAGCAAACAGGAUUAGAUACCCCGGUAGUC
rnacentral:rRNA from 1 species